UGUUGUUACUUUGUAGCCCAUCCAUCAUCCAAGAUGGCCGCCAGCGGGAGACUUAGUUUAACAUAGGACCCUAUGGGAAAUGCAUACAAAUGACUUCUUUUAGAGAACCACUGAAUGGAAUAAAACCAAACAUGGCAUGAAUGUUCCUUAUGAGGUGCUCACCAAGUGUUGUUACUUUGUAGCCGAUCCAUCAUCCAAGAUGGCCGCCAGCGGGGGACUUAGUUUAACAUAGGACCCUAUGGGAAAUGCAUACAAAUGACUUCUUUUAGAGAACCACUGAAUGGAAUAAAACCAAACAUGGCAUGAAUGUUCCUUAUGAGGUGCUCACCAAGUGUUGUUACUUUGUAGCCGAUCCAUCAUCCAAGAUGGCCGCCAGCGGGGGACUUAGUUUAACAUAGGACCCUAUGGGAAAUGCAUACAAAUGACUUCUUUUAGAGAACCACUGAAUGGAAUAAAACCAAACAUGGCAUGAACGUUCCUUAUGAGGUGCUGACCAAGUGUUGUUACUUUGUAGCCGAUCCAUCAUCCAAGAUGGCCGCCAGCGGGGGAUUUAGUUUAACAUAGGACCCUAUGGGAAAUGCAUACAAAUGACUUCUUUUAGAGAACCACUGAAUGGAAUGGAACCAAACAUGGCAUGAAUGUUCCUUAUGAGGUGCUCACCAAGUGUUGUUACUUUGUAGCCGAUCCAUCAUCCAAGAUGGCCGCCAGCGGGGGACUUAGUUUAACAUAGGACCCUAUGGGAAAUGCAUACAAAUGACUUCUUUUAGAGAACCACUGAAUGGAAUAAAACCAAACAUGGCAUGAAUGUUCCUUAUGAGGUGCUGACCAAGUGUUGUUACUUUGUAGCCGAUCCAUCAUCCAAGAUGGCAGCUAGCGGGGGACUUAGUUUAACAUAGGACCCUAUGGGAAAUGCAUACAAAUGACUUCUUUUAGAGAACCACUGAAUGGAAUGAAACCAAACAUGGCAUGAAUGUUCCUUAUGAGGUGCUCACCAAGUGUUGUUACUUUGUAGCCGAUCCAUCAUCCAAGAUGGCCGCCAGCGGGGGACUUAGUUUAACAUAGGACCCUAUGGGAAAUACAUAAAAAUGUCUUCUUUUAGAGAACCACUGAAUGGAAUGGAACCAAACAUGGCAUGAAUGUUCCUUAUGAGAUGCUGACAAAGUGUUGUUACUUUGCAGCCGAUCCAUCAUCCAAGAUGGCCGCCAGCGGGGGACUUAGUUUAACAUAGGACCCUAUGGGAAAUACAUACAAUUGUCUUCUUUUAGAGAACCACUGAAUGGAAUUGAACCAAACAUGGCAUGAAUGUUCCUUAUGAGUUGCUGACCAAGUGUUGUUACUUUGCAGUCAAUCCAUCAUCCAAGAUGGCCGCUAGGGGGGGGGGGGGCUUAGUUUAACAUAGGACCCUAUGGGAAAUACAUACAAAUGUCUUCUUUUAGAAUACCACUGAAUGGAAUGAAACCAAACAUGGCAUGAAUGUUCCUUAUGAAGUGCUGACCAAGUGUUGCUACUUUGUUGCCGAUUUACUGUUCAAGAUGGCCACCAGGAUAUUUUAUUAAAUAACGGGACAAAUAUUAAUCAAAAUUUGGCCUCAAUCAUUAUUUGGGUAUCUGUUAUGAUUUUUAUCUAUCUUUACAUGAUUUCUAAAACCAAAGUAGAGUCAGGUGAGCGACACAGGCUCUUGAGAGCCUCUAGU